rnacentral:sRNA from 1 species
UUCUUUUGAAUUUCUUUCAAGGUGCCCCCGGUUGUCCCAUGUGCCCAAUGCCACCUAUGAACCAAUAAAUGUAAUUAUUGUAUUAUUUAUUAAAUAAAAGUUUAUUGAAACAAAAAGAAUAAAAUUAUAUGCCAAAUUUUUUGAUGUUUUCGUUUAAAAAAUAUACAAAAAUCUAAGAAAAUAAAAAAACAAACUACUAUUUAAGGUUGUGUGUGUGGAUAUUAAAACAAAAAAAAAAGAAAAAAAAAAAA